rnacentral:tRNA from 1 species
GGGGUUGUGGCUCAGUGGUAGAGCACUUGCCUAGCAUGUGCAAGGCCAUGGGUUCAAACCUCAGCACCA